GAUGAACGCUGGCGGCGUGCCUAAUACAUGCAAGUCGAGCGAACAGACGAGGAGCUUGCUCCUCUGACGUUAGCGGCGGACGGGUGAGUAACACGUGGAUAACCUACCUAUAAGACUGGGAUAACUUCGGGAAACCGGAGCUAAUACCGGAUAAUAUAUUGAACCGCAUGGUUCAAUAGUGAAAGACGGUUUUGCUGUCACUUAUAGAUGGAUCCGCGCCGCAUUAGCUAGUUGGUAAGGUAACGGCUUACCAAGGCAACGAUGCGUAGCCGACCUGAGAGGGUGAUCGGCCACACGGGAACGGAGACACGGUCCAGACUCCUACGGGAGGCGGCAGUAGGGAAUCUUCCGCAAUGGGCGAAAGCCUGACGGAGCAACGCCGCGUGAGUGAUGAAGGUCUUCGGAUCGUAAAACUCUGUUAUUAGGGAAGAACAAAUGUGUAAGUAACUAUGCACGUCUUGACGGUACCUAAUCAGAAAGCCACGGCUAACUACGUG
rnacentral:rRNA from 1 species